GCGGAUGUGGUGGAAUUGGUAGACACGCACGCUUGAGGGGCGUGUGGCUAUGCCUUGCGAGUUCGAGUCUCGCCAUCCGCA
rnacentral:tRNA from 1 species